rnacentral:lncRNA from 1 species
UUUAUUUUCUGUUCGGUUAUUCUAGACUGUUAUUCUAGAUUCUAGAGCAGCGCCGUUGUGAACAGCUCUCCCGAGGCGACGGCGGAGCGCUCCUAUGACGUAAUGCCCCUAGGCAACCGCGGCCCCUCGAGGCCCCCGGGGGUGACCGCGUGCGCUCCGGGACAAUCCUUCAUCUCCCGGCGGCCGUGUGCCUUCAGCAGGUGCAAAGAGAAAUCGAUUCCCUGCUGUUGUUGUUGUUGUUACGUUGGUUAAGGCGCACAGGGGUCUCUUUUUCUAAACACGUGCUCUGAAAUUCACCCUGCUUCGCCAAUAGAAGAUAACCGACUCCACCGAAGGCUUGUCCCAAACUACUGGCCACUGGCAUAAGACGUUUCAGCUUUGCGAAGACCCGUUCUCCAGGUUGGAGAAGAACACCGAGCCCAGUAAUGGUUGGGAGGUCAGACCCAUGCCUUGCAACCCAGGAAAGGUUGCUGGUUGUCCAACAAGAUGAAGCCCUGUGUCAACGUGGUUGUCCAUCAGAAACGGGCAGUGAUCCUAUAGCAGAUACCGGUGCAUCUGAAGCACCAGUCACAGACCGAGCUGCUAAGAUGCAUCAAGAGCAAGCUGAGGCUAACUGCGAGAGGGCCGUUGAGACCAUGGAUGGAACGCUGGUAGACAACCAUGGAAGAAAUCUGCUCUGUGUCCAUGUUCCCUCAUUCCUCGUACCCGAGUUCAGAGUGAGAGAGGGUACCUUUCCUCAGCCCCAUGGAUCCUACUACAGCCUUGGACACUGCCUUCGUACCAACAUCUUCCCAGGUAUGAGCUGGAAGAAAUUUCAUUCUGACACUACAUAUCUGCCCCAGCUGUCCUCAGAUCUGAAA